rnacentral:rRNA from 1 species
CUAACUGGAGGACCGAACCGACUAAUGUUGAAAAAUUAGCGGAUGACCUGUGGCUGGGGGUGAAAGGCCAAUCAAACCGGGAGAUAGCUGGUUCUCCCCGAAAGCUAUUUAGGUAGCGCCUCGUGAACUCAUCUCCGGGGGUAGAGCACUGUUUCGGCUAGGGGGCCAUCCCGGCUUACCAACCCGAUGCAAACUGCGAAUACCGGAGAAUGUUAUCACGGGAGACACACGGCGGGUGCUAACGUCCGGCGUGAA